rnacentral:lncRNA from 1 species
GGGAUGUGGUGAGGGCCCGGGUCGGGAUGUGACAGGAAUUAAUUAGAUGCUUUGUACUGUGUAAUUGUGAAUAUUAUAAAUGAGCUUUACUAUACAUCUUUUAGAAGUAAUCAUUGAGUAAAUUUCAAGACAUCAUUUAAAAUUGAGGGGGUUGGAGGAGAGCCCGGUAUACUGGAUAAAUUUUGACAUACUUGAAAAUGUGGGAGUAUGCUAAGUUUCUGUAAGUUUCUAUAAAACGUAUCAUUUAGAUUUGAUAGUGACCCUGGCAAACAUAUAUGCCUUAGAAAUUUUGUUCAUAUGCAUGGCAUUAGAUUUAUCUUGAAUACGUUAGGAACUAAUUUGUUCUCACCAAUUUUGUUAUGAAAAUUAAGUGUGGCCGCUAUGAUACUAAUACUCGGUGAGAUGUAAAGGAUUAGGCAGGUGUACCGAAAAGUUCCAACGACCAUUGCAGAGGCAUAUUCUGAAUGCUACAUAUUUGAGGUAUUAUAUAGUUUAUAUUAAUUAGAAAUGAAUGGUAAAUUUUUAUGGUAAUGUUGUACGUGCAAAUGCCAUAUAUGUUGAGAUGUCAUGCUAGGGAGAGAUAUCUUAAAUAGAUAUGCAGGUUCACUUUGGAUUGGAACAUGAGUUGACACUCAUUGGAAAAUAUAUUUAUUUGAGGCUUAACAACCUCUUUGUUAUAUCCCAUUUUAUAUGGAAGAGACCAACUUUCUUCGAUUCUAUUAUUUUGAUAUCCCUUUGUGUAUAGACCAAUCUAUUUGGUUUGAGAUAUCCCACUAUUUGUGGAAGAGAUAAACUGGUUCAUCAUAUGUGAUAUCAUAGCUAUAAGAGCAUAAGCUAAAUGACUUAUGCAUAUGUAUUUGAUAUAAUUAUUUUGAGGUCAGAAUUGGAUCUAGGAUAUCCUUUGACAAAUCCACCAUGCUAAAUGCUAGUGAUGAUUGUUACAUCGAGGGGGAUGAGACUUGUGCCUAUAACAUCGAUCAAGAGUGAUUGUAACCCAACCUAUGUGAAUGGAGAUCCCAUGAAGUAGGUUCAUAUGGGUAAGAACAAAUCACUUGUGGAUUGGGCAUGCAUUAUCAAUUUAUGUCAACAACUUUAUUGAGCGUCUAUCCCUAUGGUGUAGAUAGUGCAACUAUUGUAGCAUAUGAGGUUGAACUUGUGUUCUUAAUGAAUACCAUAACCUAUAUAUAUAGGUGGUGUGCUUGACUACAGUGCACACUUAAUGGAUUCAUCUAUUUGAGUGUGGGAGUGGGGCCACUUCCUAUGAGAGCUUAGGCAGGUCCUCUAGAGCACUCAUGAAUAUACAAGUGGGCGCAUGGCCUAUUUGCGCCAACCCGCUAGAACAAGCUCAAUUCUAAGGAUUCAAUGUGGAUGGUUAGUCCUAUGAUUCACACAGAAAUCUUGGUUCAUAGAAAAUUUAAUUUUCACCAAAUUUAUGUGAGUUAUGGCUAGCUCGUCCUAAGGCUGGUUCAAAGUCCAAAAGACACCAGUUCUGAUGCAUUGGAUUUUCCCUUUCCUUUGGUACUUUUCCCCUCAUUAUACUUGUGUUUCUCUAAUUCCCUUCUUCUUGCGAGUCGAUUUAUAUUUUGAAAUAUGUGGGGGAUUGUUAGAACUUUAAUUAGGUAUUUCAAAAUACAUUUCUUCAUUGGUCACUUUAAUACUAUUCAAUUUGUUUUAAAAUUCCUAAUCUCAGUUUUGAUUUGUAAAACUGAAAAAUGAUGCAUAACGUUGAGGUAUAAUGAAUGGUUUUGAAUCACAAUUGAUGGACUUUGAAUUACAAUUGUGGUGUUGCCUAAUCAAUCAUCUCUUUUAUCCUCCAACGUCCUUUUGUAAUUUGUCACACACACACACAUACAUACAUAUAUAUAUAUAUAUAUAUACAUACAUACAUACAUACGCGCGCGCGCGCGCGCGCACACACACACACACACACAUAUAUAUAUAUAUAUAUUCUAUUUUUUUUCCCUUGAAUAUAUUUUGGCCAUUGAACUUCAAAUUCUUUCUUUCCUACAAAUUCCACUAGUCGACAUCAUCCUUUCUUCUCUUAAUUUCAUGUAUUCUCUCAAAUGCUAUUAUAAUUUCCACCUCUUAUAUGCCAAGGGAAAGAAUCGAGUUGUUCACUUGAUCCAUGUAUUGCGAGUCUACGCUUACAAGGAUCAUAGGUUGUUGCAUCCUGGAGGGUAGGGCAUCAUAACCUUCUACACCGAGACAUUAUCUUAAAGGGGUGAAAUCUACCCUUAAGGACAGUGACUAAAUGCCUCAACCUACAAAAGAUAAGUAUUUUAUCUUAUUUGGUUUAUUUUAUUUAAUAAAUUAUGGUGAUAAAAUUAUAAUAUACUAAUAUUAAUUAUAUGUGAUUUGUUAUAGGAGAAGUAUCCGAAUCACCAACAUUUCCAACAAGAAACAGUUACCUACCAAUGGGUAGUGAAUAUGCCUUUAUAGAGUAGCAAGUAUGAACUUGAGGAUGGUUCAUUAAGUCACAUAUGUCGUUCCAUGAGUAGUUGUUUCAACUCCAUAUUAUCUUUCAAAUUUAGCCAGUAACUUUUGACUUAUGAAGAUGUGACUUAUCCCAUUAGUCACGCUUGUAAAUUAGUUCAAGUCGGGUUGACCCGAUCCUAAGAGAUCAAGGCUUAAGCGCUACCCGACCUUAAAUUUUUGGGCCCCAGGAAUUAAAUACAUUGGGCCAACUUUAUGUCAAAUAUGUAAGGUCCUACUCAACCCAUGGGCUUGGAAAUUCAGGCCUAUGAGCGGGCUGCCCAGCCCGACCCAAUUUUUCGCCCUUUAAUCAUUUACAUUUAACUAUAAAAAUAGUAAUGUUGUUAUCACUCAAUACUACGGUCUGGUGGUAUUCAUUUUCACUUGGAAGUGAGAGGUUUUAGGUUUGAAUCUCGUGGAUAGCGAAUUCAAUACCAAAUUAUGUUGCCCAUGGUAUGGCUUAGCCGAAUUCCCCCUUCCCUUAGUGUAAAAAUAUCGAUAUACUAAAAAAUAAAAUAAAAAUAAUGUUGUUGAGAAUUGAACCUAAAAUCUUUUAUUUUAAUUAGUUUUUAAUUAUCAUCUGAACUAAGGUAUUUGUUUGGUUAAUAUAGUCAACUAAAUUAUACGAGUAUUUAUUUGCUGAACUCCUCCUUCCCUUAGUAUAAAAAUAUUGAUGCAUUAAUAAAAUAUAUACGUAUUAACAAAAUGUUAAUUAUUUGUAAAAAAAGUUUAAUAAAUUACACCUGGACAUAUCAAGCCAGGCCUAAGAACAGUGUUAACAGCCGGCCCAUAGCCUAAAAUGCAAGGUCUAGGCCCUACCCAUUUAAAAUCGGGUUGGAUAAAGCUCGACCCUAAAACUGGUCGGGCCAUCCCGCAACCCAAAAUACAUGGUUGGGCUCAGACCAGCCAAUCGAGUCCCAGCCCUUUUAACAGGCCUACCAUUAAUGAUCAUGUUGGAUCGUCCUAAUCUUUCCCUAUUGAGCUAAAUCCCCGCCUCCCUACCCCUUGAUG